rnacentral:rRNA from 1 species
AUUGAACGCUGGCGGCAGGCCUAACACAUGCAAGUCGAGCGAGCGGCGGACGGGGGAGUAAUGUAUGGGGACUGUUCGAUAGAGGGGGAUAACUACUGGAAAAGGUGGCUAAUACAGCAUAUUGUCGGAUAACCCAUAUGGGGUUAGCUAGUAGGUAAGGUAAUGGCUUACCUAGGCGACGAUCCCUAGCUGUUCUGAGAGGAUGAUCAGCCACACUGGGACUGAGACACGGCCCAGACUCCUACGGAGGCAGCAGUGGGGAAUAUUGCACAAUGGGCGCAAGCCUGAUGCAGCCAUGCCGCGUGUAUGAAGAAGGCCCUAGGGUUGUAAAGUACUUUCAGUCGGGAGGCGUUACCGACAGAAGAAGCACCGGCUAACUCCGUGCCAGCAGCCGCGGUAAUUC